rnacentral:rRNA from 1 species
GAUGAACGCUGGCGGCGUGCCUAAUACAUGCAAGUCGAGCGAACGGACGAGAAGCUUGCUUCUCUGAUGUUAGCGGCGGACGGGUGAGUAACACGUGGAUAACCUACCUAUAAGACUGGGAUAACUUCGGGAAACCGGAUCUAAUACCGGAUGAUAUUUUGAACCGCAUGGUUCAAAAGUGAAAGACGGUCUUGCUGUCACUUAUAGAUGGAGCCGCGCUGCAUUAGCUAGUUGGUAAGGUAACGGCUCACCAAGGCAACGAUGCAUAGCCGACCUGAGAGGGUGAUCAGCCACACUGGAACUGAGACACGGUCCAGACUCCUACGGGAGGCAGCAGUAGGGAAUCUUCCGCAAUGGGCGAAAGCCUGACGCAGCAACGCCGCGUGAGUGAUGAAGGUCUUCGGAUCGUAAAGCUCUGUUAUUAGGGAAGAACAUAUGUGUAAGUAACUGUGCACAUCUUGACGGUACCUAAUCAGAAAGCCCCGGCUAACUACGUG